CAGCCGCCACGGUAAUACGAAGGGUGCAAGCGUUACUCGGAAUUACUGGGCGUAAAGCGUGCGCAGGUGGUGGUUUAAGUCCGUUGUGAAAGCCCUGGGCUCAACCUGGGAAUUGCAGUGGAUACUGGGUCACUAGAGUGUGGUAGAGGAUAGUGGAAUUUCCGGUGUAGCAGUGAAAUGCGUAGAGAUCGGAAGGAACAUCUGUGGCGAAGGCGGCCAUCUGGGACAACACUGACGCUGAGGCACGAAAGCGUGGGGAGCAAACAGGAUUAGAUACCCCUGUAGUCCCUGUCUCUUAUAC
rnacentral:rRNA from 1 species